GACAAGACCGUGAAAGUUUGGGUCCAAAAGGAAGAAGAUUGAUGAGCUGCCUGGUUACGCUCUUAUCUACAUUGGCUGUCAUGUGGACUGACUAAUGCAGCUCGGCGAUGAUAUUAGUGAACUCAAGUGUUCUGUAGAGCUAUUCCUGGGAGGCUGGGAUCAUGUAAGAAAGACUCAACACAACAAUGCUUGAACUUCAUUUGUUGUGUUUCUGAUCCCCUAAUCUUUGAUGCGGAGCUGUUUUUGUUAU